AUUGAACGCUGGCGGCAGGCCUAACACAUGCAAGUCGAACGAGUGGCGGACGGGUGAGUAAUGUCUGGGAACCUGCCUGAUGGAGGGGGAUAAAUACUGGAAAAGGUAGCUAAUACCGCAUACCAUCAGAUGUGCCCAGAGGGGAUUAGCUAGUUGGUGGGGUAACGGCUCACAAAGGCGACGAUCCCUAGCUGGCCUGAGAGGAGGACCAGACACACGGGAACUGAGACACGGUCCAGAGUCCUACGGGAGGCAGCAGGGGGGAAUAUUGGACAAUGGUCGCAAGCCUGAUGCAGCCAUGCCGCGUGUAUGAAGAAGGCCUUCGGGUUGUAAAGUACUUUCAGCGGGGAGGCGUUACCCACAGAAGAAGCACCGGCUAACUCCGUGCCAGCAGCCGCGGUAAUUC
rnacentral:rRNA from 1 species